rnacentral:lncRNA from 1 species
AAAAUCAGAUUUUAUUUGAUAAAUAAUGUAUAGAUGGGCCAAACAGUCAGUUUUUACCCUUGCACCCCCAGAUUUCCCUACAUGCACCCCUCAGUUCUAAACCAGGCCAAUACUGAAGCCCAACAGUAACCCUUUUCUCCUACACCUCCUAAGUUUCCUAUUCCUACCCCUCCUAAACUAGAGUCCAUCAGAUGUUCCCACGUGUCGCCAAUCCACCACACACAGAUUCAGCCAAUGACUUGCUGCCACAUCACCACCCUUGCCACAUCAUCACCAUCUUCCACAGAAGAAACCCUAAUUCCUCUUCCUAACCCUAGCCGCCGCCUCCUCCAUGGCAUCCACCCAGUGACCUUCAGCGACCACCUAGACGUCGGCCACCACAUCGCGCAACCAACCAUGGUUUCGCCGUCAAUCACAGUGCUAUCUCCACCGGUUCAUCUUCUCCAUCAACGCCCAAGACGCCGCCGCAACACCUCCACGGGCCUCGUCAUCGUUUUCGCCUCAACCGUCAUCAUGUACCAUCUCCUCAUGACGCCGCCAACCAACAUCAUCAUCAACCACCACAUGCCGCAAGGUCGCCGUCGCCAUUAGCCACCACAAAUCCUCCAUCCUUGACCAUCAUCGGAACUACAAUUACAAAAACAGCAAGAACCCCAAAACCGGUCAUCACAAGCGUCUCAAUCAGCCACCGUAGCCAACCAACCUCCAUUCGAACCCAUUUAUUUUUGCUUCGCACAACCUGCAAAUCAAAGAAACAACAAGAAAUUAGAAAAAUCCAGAUCGCGUCUCCAUGUUUCGAGCAAGUACAACAUCACGAAGUUUUUCCCAAAUCUGUAGAAUUGCAUUGUAGAGAAGAUGCCCUCUCGAUAGUAGGUCGCGUUUUCUUCGUCUCUCAAAAGCGGCGCAGGCACAACAAAAGAUCACCCCAAUCUGCCAAUUGCAAACCCUAAUUUUGGGUAGAAGGGUGCUACUACGUGUCAGCACAUUAUUGAAUGUGUCAUUCCUCUGGUCAAAGCAGGUCAAUAAGACUCCCUGGUCAAAGUUGGUCAAACAGGGACCUUUUUGCAAUUUUGAAGAGAAGGGAAGGAUUAAAGUGCAGAAAGAGAAACGUUCAGGGUAAUGGUGCAAUUUUGGAAAAUUCAGAAAAGCUAAGAGAUAAAAUUCAGUUGUUGAAUUAAUUUAAUUGGGGAAUAUCAACAGAAA